rnacentral:rRNA from 1 species
AUUGAACGCUGGCGGCAGGCCUAACACAUGCAAGUCGAACGAGUGGCGGACGGGUGAGUAAUGUAUGGGCAACUGCCUGAUGGAGGGGGAUAACUACUGGAAACGGUAGCUAAUACCGCAUACCAUCAGAUGUGCCCAGAUGGGAUUAGCGUGUUGGGGGGGUAACGACUCACCAAGGCGACGAUUCCUAGCAGGUCUGAGAGGAUGACAAGCCACACUGGAACUGAGACACGGUCCAGACUCCUACGGGAGGCAGCAGUGGGGAAUAUUGCACAAUGGUCGCAAGCCUGAUGAAGCCAUGCCGCGUGUAUGAAGAAGGCCUUAGGGUUGUAAAGUACUGUCAGCGGGGAGGCGUUACCAGCAGAAGAAGCACCGGCUAACUCCGUGCCAGCAGCCGCGGUAAUUC